UACGUAGGGGGCAAGCGUUGUCCGGAAUUAUUGGGCGUAAAGAGCGUGUAGGCGGUCCGGUAAGUCAGCUGUGAAAGUCAAGGGCUCAACCCUUGAAAGCCGGUUGAUACUGUCGGGCUAGAGUCCGGAAGAGGCGAGUGGAAUUCCCGGUGUAGCGGUGAAAUGCGCAGAUAUCGGGAGGAACACCAAUGGCGAAGGCAAUCCCCUGGACCUGUACUGACGCUCAUGCACGAAAGCGUGGGGAGCAAACAGG
rnacentral:rRNA from 1 species